AGAGUUUGAUCCUAGCUCAGGGUGAACGCUGGCGGCGUGGAUAAGGCAUGCAAGUCGAGUGGGUUUAGACCCACGGCAGACGAGGUAGUAACACGUAGGAACAUACCCCAAAGUCAGGGAUAACCAGUCGAAAGAUUGGACAAUACUUGAUAGUCUCUUCGGAGUAAAGCUUUUGCGCUUUGGGAGUGGCCUGCGGGAUAUCAGCUUGAUGGUAAGGUAACGGCUUACCAUGGCUAUGACGUCUAGGGGAGCUGAGAGGCUGACCCCCACCGAUGGAACUGAGACACGGUCCAUACACCUACGGGUGGCCGCAGUCGAGAAUCUUCCGCAAUGGACGAAAGUCUGACGGAGCGACGCCGCGUGGUUGAUGAAGUCCUUCGGGAUGUAAAAACCUUUUAUAGAGGAGGAAAUUAGUGACGUUACUCUAUGAAUAAGGGGCCGCUAAACUCGUGCCAGCAGCGGCGGUAAUACGAGUGCCCCAAGCGUUACCCGGAUUUAUUGGGCGUAAAGGGUGUGUAGGCGGUUAUAUUAGUCUCUUGUUAAAGCUCCCGGCUUAACCGGGAAAGUGCAAGAGAAACGGUAUAACUAGAGGAUGUGAGAGGUAUGCGGAACUCAUAGUGUAGGGGUGAUAUCCGUUGAUAUUAUGGGGAACACCAAAGGCGAAGGCAGCAUACUGGCACAUUCCUGACGCUGAGACACGAAAGCGUGGGUAGCGAAUGGGAUUAGAUACCCCAGUAGUCCACGCCCUAAACGAUGUUCGUUGGCUUUUCGGAGUAUCGACCCUCUGAGAGGCGAAGCUAACGCGUUAAACGAACCGCCUGGGUAGUACGGCCGCAAGGCUAAAACUCAAAGGAAUAGACGGGGGCUCGCACAAGCGGUGGAUCAUGUGGUUUAAUUCGUCAAUAAGCGAAGAACCUUACCCAGACUAGACAUCUAGACGACGACCUUUCGAAAGAUAGGUUUUCUUCGGACGGCUAGACAGGUGAUGCAUGGCUGUCGUCAGUUCGUGACUUGAGUUGUUCCCUUAAGUGGGGUAACGAACGCAACCCUUGCCGCGUGUUACAAGUGUCACGCGGGACUACUCCUUUUUUGGGAGAGGAAGCGAGGAUGACGCCAAGUCAGCAUGUCCCUUGAUGUCUGGGGCGACACACAUGAUACAAUGGCUACUACAACGGGUCGCGACGAGGAAACUCUGAGCCAAUCCUUUAAAGGUAGCCCAAGUUCGGAUAGAGGUCUGAAACUCGACCUCUUGAAGUUGGAAUCGCUAGUAAUCGCAGGUCAGCCACACUGCGGUGAAUACGUUCUCGAGCCUUGUACUCACCGCCCGUCAAGCCAAGGGAGCCGGGAGUGCCCGAAGCCUGUACUUGUUAUGGGUUACGGUAAACUCGGUAACAAGGGUUAAGUCGUAACAAGGCACGGCUAGCGGAAGCUGGUCGUG
rnacentral:rRNA from 1 species